rnacentral:rRNA from 1 species
UGGGGAAUCUUCCGCAAUGGACGAAAGUCUGACGGAGCGACGCCGCGUGAGUGAUGAAGGCCCUUGGGUCGUAAAGCUCUGUCAUCAGGGACGAACGGUCACGUCAGGAAAUGGGCGUGAAUUGACGGUACCUGAGAAGGAAGCCACGGCUAACUACGUGCCAGCAGCCGCGGUAAUACGUAGGUGGCGAGCGUUGUCCGGAAUUAUUGGGCGUAAAGCGCGCGCAGGUGGGAUCUUAAGUCUGUUCUGAAAGUUCGGAGCUUAACUCCGUGAUGGGAUGGAAACUGGGAUUCUUGAGUAUCGGAGAGGAAAGCGGAAUUCCCCGUGUAGCGGUGAAAUGCGUAGAUAUGGGGAGGAACACCAGUGGCGAAGGCGGCUUUCUGGACGAUGUCUGACACUG